rnacentral:rRNA from 1 species
GACGAACGCUGGCGGCGUGCUUAACACAUGCAAGUCAAACGGAAAGGCCCUGCUUUUGUGGGGUGCUCGAGUGGCGAACGGGUGAGUAACACGUGAGUAACCUGCCCUUGACUUUGGGAUAACUUCAGGAAACUGGGGCUAAUACCGGAUAGGAGCUCCUGCUGCAUGGUGGGGGUUGGAAAGUUUCGGCGGUUGGGGAUGGACUCGCCGCUUAUCAGCUUGUUGGUGGGGUAGUGGCUUACCAAGGCUUUGACGGGUAGCCGGCCUGAGAGGGUGACCGGCCACAUUGGGACUGAGAUACGGCCCAGACUCCUACGGGAGGCAGCAGUGGGGAAUAUUGCACAAUGGGCGGAAGCCUGAUGCAGCAACGCCGCGUGCGGGAUGACGGCCUUCGGGUUGUAAACCGCUUUCGCCUGUGACGAAGCGUGAGUGACGGUAAUGGGUAAAGAAGCACCGGCUAACUACGUG